rnacentral:rRNA from 1 species
AACACGUGGGAACGUACCCUUUGGUUCGGAAUAACGCAGGGAAACUUGCGCUAAUACCGGAUACGCCCUUUUGGGGAAAGGUUUACUGCCGAAGGAUCGGCCCGCGUCUGAUUAGCUAGUUGGUGGGGUAACGGCCUACCAAGGCGACGAUCAGUAGCUGGUCUGAGAGGAUGAUCAGCCACACUGGGACUGAGACACGGCCCAGACUCCUACGGGAGGCAGCAGUGGGGAAUAUUGGACAAUGGGCGCAAGCCUGAUCCAGCCAUGCCGCGUGAGUGAUGAAGGCCUUAGGGUUGUAAAGCUCUUUUGUCCGGGACGAUAAUGACGGUACCGGAAGAAUAAGCCCCGGCUAACUUCGUGCCAGCAGCCGCGGUAAUACGAAGGGGGCUAGCGUUGCUCGGAAUCACUGGGCGUAAAGGGCGCGUAGGCGGCCUUGUAAGUUGGGGGUGAAAGCCCGUGGCUCAACCACGGAAUUGCCUUCGAUACUGCUUGGCUUGAGUGUGGUAGAGGUUGGUGGAACUGCGAGUGUAGAGGUGAAAUUCGUAGAUAUUCGCAAG